ensembl:miRNA
CCCCAUAGAGUGGACAGGCCAAGCCGCUGUGCAGGCAGCUCCAUCCCAGCCGGCUCUUGGGCUGUCCGCCUUGUGGGGG